rnacentral:rRNA from 1 species
GACGAACGCUGGCGGCGUGCUUAACACAUGCAAGUCGAACGGAAAGGCCCUGCUUUUGUGGGGUGCUCGAGCGGCGAACGGGUGAGUAACACGUGAGUAACCUGCCCUUGACUUUGGGAUAACUUCAGGAAACUGGGGCUAAUACCGGAUAGGAGCUCCUGCUGCAUGGUGGGGGUUGGAAAGUUUCGGCGGUUGGGGAUGGACUCGCGGCUUAUCAGCUUGUUGGUGGGGUAGUGGCUUACCAAGGCUUUGACGGGUAGCCGGCCUGAGAGGGUGACCGGCCACAUUGGGACUGAGAUACGGCCCAGACUCCUACGGGAGGCAGCAGUGGGGAAUAUUGCACAAUGGGCGGAAGCCUGAUGCAGCAACGCCGCGUGCGGGAUGACGGCCUUCGGGUUGUAAACCGCUUUCGCCUGUGACGAAGCGUGAGUGACGGUAAUGGGUAAAGAAGCACCGGCUAACUACGCG